CAUAUUUACGAGUAUAGCCGACUUAAUCUCCAGAACACUGUGCUGUCCAAGAGGAGGCUUACAUGGUUUGUGGAUCAGGGAAUCGUUGCAGAUGGGAUGAUCCACGAUUCCCAACUGUGAGAGGAGUACUGAGGCGGGGUUUGACUGUGGAAGGACUCAAACAAUUCAUUGUUGCCCAGGGUUCAUCACGUUCCAUAGUGAUGAUGGAAUGGGACAAGAUUUGGUCUGUCAA